rnacentral:hammerhead_ribozyme from 1 species
AUCCAGCUGAUGAGUCCCAAAUGGACGAAACGCGCCCUGGAU